rnacentral:rRNA from 1 species
GUCGAACGCUUUUUCWUUCACCGGAGCUUGCUCCACCGAAAGAAAAAGAGUGGCGAACGGGUGAGUAACACGUGGGUAACCUGCCCAUCAGAAGGGGAUAACACUUGGAAACAGGUGCUAAUACCGUAUAACACUAUUUUCCGCAUGGAAGAAAGUUGAAAGGCGCUUUUGCGUCACUGAUGGAUGGACCCGCGGUGCAUUAGCUAGUUGGUGAGGUAACGGCUCACCAAGGCAACGAUGCAUAGCCGACCUGAGAGGGUGAUCGGCCACACUGGGACUGAGACACGGCCCAGACUCCUACGGGAGGCAGCAGUAGGGAAUCUUCGGCAAUGGACGAAAGUCUGACCGAGCAACGCCGCGUGAGUGAAGAAGGUUUUCGGAUCGUAAAACUCUGUUGUUAGAGAAGAACAAGGAUGAGAGUAAAAUGUUCAUCCCUUGACGGUAUCUAACCAGAAAGCCACGGCUAACUACGUGCCAGCAGCCGCGGUAAUACGUAGGUGGCAAGCGUUGUCCGGAUUUAUUGGGCGUAAAGCGAGCGCAGGCGGUUUCUUAAGUCUGAUGUGAAAGCCCCCGGCUCAACCGGGGAGGGUCAUUGGAAACUGGGAGACUUGAGUGCAGAAGAGGAGAGUGGAAUUCCAUGUGUAGCGGUGAAAUGCGUAGAUAUAUGGAGGAACACCAGUGGCGAAGGCGGCUCUCUGGUCUGUAACUGACGCUGAGGCUCGAAAGCGUGGGGAGCGAACAGGAUUAGAUACCCUGGUAGUCCACGCCGUAAACGAUGAGUGCUAAGUGUUGGAGGGUUUCCGCCCUUCAGUGCUGCAGCAAACGCAUUAAGCACUCCGCCUGGGGAGUACGACCGCAAGGUUGAAACUCAAAGGAAUUGACGGGGGCCCGCACAAGCGGUGGAGCAUGUGGUUUAAUUCGAAGCAACGCGAAGAACCUUACCAGGUCUUGACAUCCUUUGACCACUCUAGAGAUAGAGCUUCCCCUUCGGGGGCAAAGUGACAGGUGGUGCAUGGUUGUCGUCAGCUCGUGUCGUGRGAUGUUGGGUUAAG